rnacentral:rRNA from 1 species
GAUAUUGGGCGUAAGAGCUCGUAGGCGGUUUGUCGCGUCUGCCGUGAAAGUCCGGGGCUCAACUCCGGAUCUGCGGUGGGUACGGGCAGACUAGAGUGAUGUAGGGGAGACUGGAAUUCCUGGUGUAGCGGUGAAAUGCGCAGAUAUCAGGAGGAACACCGAUGGCGAAGGCAGGUCUCUGGGCAUUAACUGACGCUGAGGAGCGAAAGCAUGGGGAGCGAACAGGAUUAGAUACCCUGGUAGUCCAUGCCGUAAACGUUGGGCACUAGGUGUGGGGGACAUUCCACGUUUUCCGCGCCGUAGCUAACGCAUUAAGUGCCCCGCCUGGGGAGUACGGCCGCAAGGCUAAAACUCAAAAAAAAUUGACGGA